rnacentral:rRNA from 1 species
UAGGGAAUCUUCGGCAAUGGGGGGAACCCUGACCGAGCAACGCCGCGUGAGUGAAGAAGGUUUUCGGAUCGUAAAGCUCUGUUGUUAAGGAAGAACGAGUGUGAGAAUGGAAAGUUCAUGCUGUGACGGUACUUAACCAGAAAGGGACGGCUAACUACGUGCCAGCAGCCGCGGUAAUACGUAGGUCCCGAGCGUUGUCCGGAUUUAUUGGGCGUAAAGCGCUCGUAGGCGGUCUGUUAGGUCGGCAAGUUAAAUCCGGGGGCUCAACCCCCGUCCGCUUCCGAUACCGGCAGACUUGAGUUUGGUAGGGGAAGGUGGAAUUCCUAGUGUAGCGGUGGAAUGCGCAGAUAUUAGGAAGAACACCGGUGGCGAAGGCGGCCUUCUGGGCCAUAACUGACGCUGAGGAGCGAAAGCUAGGGGAGCGAACAGG